GAUGAACGCUGGCGGCGUGCUUAAUACAUGCAAGUCGAACGGAAAGGCCCUGCUUUUGUGGGGCUCUCGAUUGGCGAACGGGUGAGUAUCACGUGUGUAACCCCCCCUUGUCUGUGGGAUAACAUCACGAAACUGCGGCUAAUACCGGAUAGGAGCUCCUGCUGCAUGGUGGGCGUCGGAAAGUUACGGCGGUUGUGGAUAGACUCGCUGCUUAUCAGCUUGUUGGUGGGGUAGUGGCUUACCAAGGUUUUGACGGGUAGCCGGCCUGAGAGGGGUACCGGCGACAUUGGGACUAAGAGACGGACCAGACUCGUACGGGAGGCAGCGGUCGAGAGUCUUACAGAAUGGGCGGGAGCGAGAUGAGGCGGCGCCGCGUGCGGAAUAACGGCUUACGGGUUGUAAACCACUUUCGCAGGUAACAAGGAGGGAGUGACGGUAACGGAUCAGAAAGCACCGGCUAACUACGUG
rnacentral:rRNA from 1 species